GAAGAAGAUGAUUUUUCACCUAGUGGAGUCAUUGAACAGUGGUCUUCAAAUUGGGAUUAUUUCCAAGAAUAGAUUAAAAUGCCAUGAAAAAGAAAAAAUUAUAGAAAAGCAAAAAGAGCUGAAUGCAGUGAAUGAACAUCUGUGAAUGAAGUUGAGAAGGUAUAUGUGGGGCAGACUAGAAUUGCAGUGCACAGAUACAAGAAUGUUGCCUGCUUUGGAGCCAAGACUGCCUUCCGGAUAAAGGGCCCACAGAGAGCUGAGAGCUGUGUAAUACCUCAAAGACUGAAGAAAAGAGUUAGACAGCCAUCUUUCCUUAGAGGAUUUUGCUGCAGACAGCUUGAACUACCAGAAGGUUAUAUACUGACCAUGGGUAGAGUAAGGAAGAAAUACAUCCUUCGGAAAGGACAAUGAAGAUCUUUACAGCAGGGAGGUGAGGACAAAGUGAUUCUCCCUUCUGGAGGAUGCAGCAAAGUGCUGCCUGCCAUCUUGGAAGCACAGAGUAGCCUUCACCACACUCUAAUCCCAUCAGAGCCUUGAUCUUGGACUUGCCAGCCUUCAGAACAGUCUUGCCUCAUCACUGCCAUGACAGGGGGGUCCAAUGUGAGGAUUCUGGUGUCUAUGCCAAGCAUCUCUUUUCCAACGUAGAUCUGAUUUCUUAACAUAGCCAACAGCAAGUCAACAUCAGCUUUGCAGAGAAAAGCAGCACCAACAGGUCUGCCAAAUCCAGAAGAAGAUGAUGAAGCUUCCCACCCAAGAGGUGCAGAGAGAUUUCCUGAAAGAAGCAGUUAAUAAAUGGAUCCCACGCAGCUUUGAAAAACUCAUUAAAAGGUCAUAAAAAGAUUUGCCAAUUUAUUUAUACUCUCAAUGAUGUCUUCACUAGAAAAUUCAAAGUUUGAACUGGGAAAACUUGAAGGUAGUAGUUCUUGAAAAGCUUAUGGAUAUGAACUGCCAGUCCAAGAAUCUGUUUAAAAUUCAGAUGUUUAAUAGUGACAAACAAAAAUCCUGUAUGUGAAGAAAAAAAAACAUCAUGAUAUUGCUUUCUAUAUAAUUUUUUUCUGUUGUAUUGUAAGAAAGAUACAUCCCUUUUCCUAUAGAUAAGACUUCUGAGUGUUUUUCUGUUUGGCAAUAUUAGCAAUCUAUUUUCUGCCUCAGAAAACCUAUUUAUAGACCUCCUAUUAUCAGGCAUUGUACUGAAUUAUUCUUUGUGUCCAAAGUUUUUCAAUUUAUUUCCUUGGUAUUUUAGUGCAUAUACACAUUGUAUAAAAUAAUGGCCUUUUAGUCUUCUUCCACUGUAGCUCUCUUAUUUCUGUUUUAUUCUAAAUUCAUGAAACAUAACUUUCAAAAGGAAUCUUACAAAUAGUGAUAAUAACAGACAUCUUCCUCAAGUUGAUAAUUUUAAUACAUAUUGAUAUUCCAUCAUUCAUUAUAAUGUAUUUUGUUUAAAGUGUAUUUACUUUGAAAAUAAAACAUCUUUUGUUAAUUUUCCUUAUAACAUUUUUGAAUACCAAUUUGUGUUCUAGCAUAUCCAAUCAAGUUGGUCACACUGUAUGAGAAUGAAAUGUAUUUAUUUAACUUACUUAUAUUAUAAAUUGUUUAAGUAGUCUGCUUAUAUUGAUUGUCUUUAUACUUCUUUUUGAAAAUUAGUAUACUGAUCAUUGUUAACUCAUGCUUCUAUUUCCAUGCUAAUUAUUUAUAGGAUUCAUAUCUAUUUUUUCAUAUUAUGAUUUAUGUAGCUUCUUAUCUCUUAUGACCUGAACAGUUUAUAAAAUGCCAAUUAAUU
rnacentral:lncRNA from 1 species